ACGUACCAUGCUGAAUACCUUCUGUGGUUUGGGCGAUCGUGUGGUUGAGACGAAGCCCUUACCCCAAAAGGUGUCUGUCAUGGUAAGU
rnacentral:pre_miRNA from 1 species